rnacentral:lncRNA from 1 species
AUGCUCACACACGUGCACACCUGCGCUGCACACCCGUGUCUGCGUGCGUGCAGGCGCACGGGGCCCUGGCACAACCUGGCACAUGGGCCACCAGCCGGACACCCUGCUCUGCCCUGCAGCCCCGGGGUGGGAAGGGGCUGCUCAGGUGGGACCCCAGUGCCCCCCAGGGGGCAGCAAGGGCAGGGGAGGGCAGGAGCAGGGGGUCCCCUCACUGUCACCUGCACCUGCAGCAUGUGCCAUCGCUGUGCCGGGUCAGCCAGGGACACCGUGCUCUUGCUGGAGGCGAUGCGUGCUGGUGGCAGGAGGAGGCUGGCACGCUUUUGGCACCUCUCCCCGUUGGGGACCGUGCUGCGGGCACGUGGCCACCCUGCGUGCCCCGCAGCAGGGCUCCAGGAGAGGGGCUCUGCCCCUGGCUCUCCCUUCCCCAAGCACCCCAGCCUCUCCCUGCCAGCCCCAGAUGUGCUGGGGAGAGGGAGGGAGCAGCCCCGGCAGCUGCAGAGCACCCGGGCCAGAUGCGCCGGGCGCACUUUGCGAGCCCUGCGGAGGCUGCCGAACCCCAGGCCUGUACUUAUCCAGCCGCGACAUGGCACGGGAAGAAAGGACAUUCCUCCCGUAGGAACAGCCUGCACGCAUGGCGUCAUCCCCUCCUCACUGCGAGGGAAGCCACAGGGAGGGUGUUCCCGGUCCCCCAGCCCCUCCGCAGCCCGGGCUGGCCCCAAGGAGCCGUGCUGGGAUGCUGCCUGUGCCACCCCAGCCCCAGCGGUUGCUCCCAUCCCCUGCUGGCUGCCAGGGCAGGAGCCGUCCUGGCCCGAAUUCAGCAGACUCAGCAUUUUGGGGCUGAGCCUGGCUGUCACCAAGCCCAGCUAUGGCAGGAAGAGCGCAUCAGAGCCUCGCUGGAUGCUGGGGUGCCUUCGUUUGCUGCCCCACUGCAGCCUGUCUGCAACGGGCACGGGCAGCACUGAGCCUCCAGGAAUGGUUUUCCCAUCUAAAUGGUGCAGGGGAACCAAGCUGCCCCACCAGCCGUGCCUGGGGGACUGCUCGGAGCUGUGCUGA